GCCGGGCAUGGUGGUGUGUGCCUGUAAUCCCAGCUACUCGGGAGGCUGAGGCAGGAGAAUUGCUUGAACCUGGGAGGCAGAGGUUGCAGUGAGCUGAGAUCACGCCACUGCACUCUAGCCUGGGUGACAGAGCGAGACCCCAUCUCAA
rnacentral:SRP_RNA from 1 species